AAAGCUAAAGCUAAUGCACAAAGGACUAUGGGAGUGAGGUCAAAACGCAACUGAACACGGAACCUUUCCGGAUAUCAGCUCCAGGACUCAACAUCAUGGAGUAUACAGUGAAUUAUAGCGUGAUAAAGUUAUAAUUUUCACUAAAUUUUCAACUGCACACACUUACCAGUGAACUGUGUGUAAAUCAUCAACUGCCUGUGUAUCAGCUGAUUUCUACACCAGCUUUACAUCCUGAGCAGAAGAUUGUCGUGGAGAGGACGGG